GACGAACGCUGGCGGCGUGCUUAACACAUGCAAGUCGAACGGAAAGGCCCUGCUUUGUGGGGUGCUCGAGUGGCGAACGGGUGAGUAACACGUGAGUAACCUGCCCUUGACUUUGGGAUAACUUCAGGAAACUGGGGCUAAUGCCGGAUAGGAGCUCCUGCUUCCUGGUGGGGGUUGGAAAGUUUCGGCGGUUGGGUAUGGACUCGCGGCUUAUCAGCUUGUUGGUGGGGUAGUGGCUUACCAAGGCUUUGACGGGUAGCCGGCCUGAGAGGGUGACCGGCCACAUUAGGACUGAGAUACGGCCCAGACUCCUACGGGAGGCAGCAGUGGGGAAUAUUGCACAAUGGGCGGAAGCCUGAUGCAGCAACGCCGCGUGCGGGAUGACGGCCUUCGGGUUGUAAACCGCUUUCGCCUGUGACGAAGCGUGAGUGACGGUAAUGGGUAAAGAAGCACCGGCUAACUACGUG
rnacentral:rRNA from 1 species